CUUGUAGCACUAAAGUGCUUAUAGUGCAGGUAGUGUUCACUAAUCUACUGCAUUAUGAGCACUUAAAGUACUGCUAG
rfam:Struthio camelus australis contig45286, whole genome shotgun sequence.